AAAAAAUAAAAUAAAAUAAAAGAAACAGAUCCUCUUCAUCUUCGCUGGCUUCUCGGCACGGAACCCAGAAAUGUUUGUUUUACGGUUUUAAAUGGCAAAGUGAUGCGAAAAGUGGGUGUGGAUGUUGUGGGGUUGGGAGCCCUAAAGUUCACUGGAUUCCUUAGAGAACAAAGCAACAGAAUAACAUGAGUUUUGGAUCAAUGUACACUGUUCGAAUGCUGAAACAGAUCCGUUUAUGGCUUUCUCAGCAAGAAGAAUCUGUUGCUAAGAGAGCUCUCUUACAACAGAUGAACGCAACGCUGCCUAAGAUUAAACCGAAAAGGUCAUCUUGCAAGGUUCAGGUUCAUGUUCAGUUAGCAUAAUACCACAGAAUGAUCAACAUUUUCUAAUUGAACUAGCUUAACAUUCUUUUGAAAUUGAUAAUCCUUUGUCUCCUGACAUUUCUAAAUUAGUAUCUGAGGUGUUAAGUGAUCCUGUUAACCCUCAAAGUCAAAAUUUAAUAUUUAGAUUUUUUUUUACUAUUUAACUUGAGUUUGUAUUUUGAUAAUAUCAUAUGAAUUUGGUUGAUGAUUUUUUGUUUAGUGUUUUAAAUUUGGAAAAUA